rnacentral:ncRNA from 10 species
AUACUGAAUGUAAGGUGGGAAAUCAGUGUGAAAUUCAUUGGCUCUUCCUGGAACCGUAAAGCCGGAGCUCCACCCAGUAGAGACCGAUGUUGAAUGAAGGCCAGGAAAAGUCUAGUUCUGCAAUUAAAAA